rnacentral:rRNA from 1 species
CCUACGGGUGGCUGCAGUGGGGAAUAUUGGACAAUGGGGGGAACCCUGAUCCAGCCAUGCCGCGUGUGUGAAGAAGGCCCUCGGGUUGUAAAGCACUUUCAGUGAGGAAGAACGCCUGGUGGUUAAUACCCAUCAGGAAAGACAUCACUCACAGAAGAAGCACCGGCUAACUCCGUGCCAGCAGCCGCGGUAAUACGGAGGGUGCGAGCGUUAAUCGGAAUUACUGGGCGUAAAGCGCGCGUAGGUGGCUUGAUAAGCCGGUUGUGAAAGCCCCGGGCUCAACCUGGGAACGGCAUCCGGAACUGUCAAGCUAGAGGGCAGGAGAGGAAGGUAGAAUUCCCGGUGUAGCGGUGAAAUGCGUAGAGAUCGGGAGGAAUACCAGUGGCGAAGGCGGCCUUCUGGACUGACACUGACGCUGAGGUGCGAAAGCGUGGGUAGCAAACAGGAUUAGAUACCCCAGUAGUC